GCGGACGGGUGAGUAACGCGUGAGAAUCUGCCCUCAGGACGGGGACAACAGCUGGAAACGGCUGCUAAUACCCGAUGUGCCGAGAGGUGAAACAUUUAUGGCCUGAGGAUGAGCUCGCGUCUGAUUAGCUAGUUGGUGGGGUAAAAGCCUACCAAGGCGACGAUCAGUAGCUGGUCUGAGAGGAUGAUCAGCCACACUGGGACUGAGACACGGCCCAGACUCCUACGGGAGGCAGCAGUGGGGAAUUUUCCGCAAUGGGCGCAAGCCUGACGGAGCAAGACCGCGUGCGGGAGGACGGCCUAUUGGUUGUAAACCGCUUUUGAUAGGGAAGAAGUUCUGACGGUACCUAUCGAAUCAGCAUCGGCUAACUCCGUGCCAGCAGCCGCGGUAAUACGGAGGAUGCAAGCGUUAUCCGGAAUUAUUGGGCGUAAAGCGUCCGUAGGUGGUUGUUCAAGUCUGCUGUUAAAGCGUGCGGCUUAACCGCAUACCAGCAGUGGAAACUGGGCAACUAGAGUGCGGUAGGGGUCAGGGGAAUUCCCAGUGUAGCGGUGAAAUGCGUAGAUAUUGGGAAGAACACCGGUGGCGAAAGCGCCUGACUGGACCUGCACUGACACUGAGGGACGAAAGCUAGGGGAGCG
rnacentral:rRNA from 1 species